rnacentral:sRNA from 1 species
GAGAGAGAGGUCCAAGGUGCCCUACAUCAUGCGCCAGUGUGUGGAGAUCGAGCGCCGAGGCAUGGAGGAGGUGGGCAUCUACCGCGUGUCCGGAGUGGCCGCAGACAUCCAGGCACUGAAGGCAGCCUUCGACGUCAGUGAGUGUCGGCCUGCGCAGGACGGGAUGGAGGUGUGGGCAGUGGUGUCCGCGAUGAGACCUCAGAGCGCUCCAUGGCCCAGGCAUGUCACAUCCUUCUCUGUGUCUUUUCUUCAUUUACUGUUUUAUUAUUUUUAAAAAAGAGAAAACAAGAGUUGUACAAACAGCUUCUAUAGAAGCCAGUUUUUCCACCUCCAUCUCACCAACCCUCACAGGCUUUGAAGGACCUGGAUGUGCCUCAAAUGCCAGGUGAGGGCACUGAGACCCCAGAGGGUCCUUCCCAGCAUCUUCAAAGCAACAGGAUUUUGUGCCUGCAGACCCUUCUUUGCAGCACACACCACCCACCCUGACCAGGACCCCUAGAAUGCCCAGCAUCCCUGGGAGGGCCCUGUGGUAGUUUCAGCUCCCUCUGGGGGCCCAGAAUGGA